GGCGGCGUACCCAAGUGGUCUAAGGGAACGGUUUGCAAAACCGUCAUGCGCGGGUUCGAAUCCCGCCGCCGCCU
rnacentral:tRNA from 1 species